GACGAACGCUGGCGGCGUGCCUAACACAUGCAAGUCGAACGGAGUUAUUCCUUUCAGGGGAUAACUUAGUGGCGAACGGGUGAGUAACGCGUGAGGAACCUACCUCUCAGUGGGGGACAACAGUUGGAAACGACUGCUAAUACCGCAUAAUGUUAUUUGGGGCAUCCCCGAAUAACCAAAGCUUUAUGUGCUGAAAGAUGGUCUCGCGUCUGAUUAGCUAGAUGGCGGGGUAACGGCCCACCAUGGCGACGAUCAGUAGCCGGCCUGAGAGGGUGAACGGCCACAUUGGGACUGAGACACGGCCCAAACUCCUACGGGAGGCAGCAGUGGGGAAUAUUGCACAAUGGGGGAAACCCUGAUGCAGCGACGCCGCGUGAGCGAUGAAGUAUUUCGGUAUGUAAAGCUCUAUCAGCAGGGAAGAAAAUGACGGUACCUGACUAAGAAGCACCGGCUAAAUACGUG
rnacentral:rRNA from 1 species